GGUGGUCUCUCUUUGAAUUGAAUAUCCUACCUGUUCACUGCGUCAAAACCAAAGCAAAUGCACAUGAAACUUUAAUGAAUUUCGCACCUCCCUUAGAUCGAAGGGUAAAAUGCCAGCAAUCACAUCGAGACCAAACACCACAACGAACUUGUAGAGCGACUUUGCACCGACUGGCACUCAAAUCCGUCCCUCGCCCUCUUUCUCGGUCGUGAUCGGCAAGUUGUUCCGCUUUUUUUGUUAUUUUUGACUUACAGUACUACUACUACUACUGCUACUACUCUUAGGCAACUCCAUUACUCCUUUCAGCCCUCUGUAUUCCUAGUCUCAGCUUGCUAGUCGAACAGGAUAGCUUGGAAUGGGUUGUUAGGACUGGGACGGCCAGCGUUGACACCUGCAGGUCCCGCUUGACGAGCUCACGGGCCUCUCGCUCCGUGCUUGGUUCCAAGAGAACGAGUGAAAGUGGUUCUCGAAGCAAUUGGACCAGACCGAAGUAUCCUUGAGAGAGGAACACCCUCCUCUCUCAUAGCUCACACUGUCACUCUCAAGCCCGCUAGAAUGACAGCUUGUCCCACCUGAGCGCUCAGGGUCCUGAAGUGGACCAUGGCAGCAGGAUCAUGUCAAGAAGAUCGACGAAGGCCGAAUCACGACUCAGAAGUAAUAACUUACGAGUCUUCUCUAAGCUCAUCUAGGCAAUGGUGGCUUGGCACGCCAAAAGAAGACAAAGAUAUCUGCAACUCUGCGAGCUCUUGCAAAGUGCACUGCAUUAAAAGGAAUCGUGGAAAAGCUAUUGAUUCCGAUUUUGCAAUCUCGAACCAUUCAUCACGGAAUGCCGCUUAACCGACUUUGGAAUAAAGUUGGUAAUGCUCGGGUUCUCCGGUUAAUCUACCUACAACUUCCAAUGACAACCGUUGUUCGUUCGUCGUGCCGUUCUGUCGUGUGGCGAGUUAGCAUGUUAUAGUUGUAACCAUAGUUUUGCAGUUGUUGUGUGCUCAAGUACCAAGAGGGCCUCUCCCUCUUCGAGCUCCCAUGAUGAAAUUAUAGACAUACGAAUA